rnacentral:lncRNA from 1 species
AAUUUCGAUUUAGAAUCUUCUGUUCUAAUACUAUGUAAAACAAUUAUUCUCUUUAUACUGAUAUUAAAGGCCAUAUUUUAAUAAUUACUUAUUUAUAACUCCUUAGUUAAUUUAUUAUUUACUAGUGAAGUUACUGGCACAUUGCGGCGGGCUAAUAUUAUAAAAGACAGAAAAAUUGAUAAAAUAGAAGUUUUAAAAUUUUUCGAUUUGCCAUAAGAUAUCAAUAAAUACAAAUAGUAUAAGAAAAAAGAGUAUAAAAAGAUCUUAUUUUGCACUCUUUUUUUCUUUUGAAAGUGAUUUGUUUAGACAACAAUAAACCUGCAAACGCAUUGAUUGAAAAGUGGGCAGGGAAGACGAAGUAUCAGACAGAGAUGGGGAGUCGAAACAUUAGGAAAUGGGAACGGGAAAGAAGGUAAAAGUGAAGGAGGAACUGCCAUGUAGCAAAUUCUAUAAAAAAUAAUGAAUAAGUAAGUACAGAAGUAUAGAAUUAAUAUAGAUGUAGUUUAAUACUAUAUUUAA